AACGAACGCUGGCGGCAUGCCUAACACAUGCAAGUCGAACGAGACCUUCUGGUUUAGUGGCUCCCGGGUUCGUAACGCGUGGGAACCUGCCCUUAUGUUCUGAAUAACUCCCCGAAAUGGGUUCUAAUACCGGAUACUGUCUUCGGACCAAAGAUGUAUCGGCUUUGGAUGGGCCCGCGUUGGAUUAGCGAGUUGGUUGGGUUAAAGCCUACCAAGGCGACUAUCCAUAGCUUGUCUGAGAGGAUGAUCAGCCACACUGAGACUGAGACACGUCCCAGACUCGUACGAGAGGCGGCAAAGGGGAAUAGUGGACAGGGGGCGUAAGGCUGAUCCGGCAAGGCCGGGUGAGUGAUGUAGGCCUUAGAGUUGGAAAGCGCUUUUACCCGGGAUGAGAAUGACGGUACCGGGAGAAGAAGCUCCGGCUAACUACGUG
rnacentral:rRNA from 1 species